UAUCUCUGUAGAGUCUGCAUAUCAAUAAGCGGAGGAAAAGAAACUAACAAGGAUUCCCCUAGUAACGGCGAGUGAGGCGGGAAGAGCUCAAAUUUGAAAUCUUCAAGGUUUACCUUGACGAAUUGUAGUUUAAAGAAGUAUUUUCUGUUAGAGAGUAGGUAAAAGUUCUUUGGAAUAGGACAUCAUAGAGGGUGAGAAUCCCGUAUUUGACUAUUCUUUCUAGCUGUGUGAUACACUUUCAAAGAGUCGGAUUGUUUGGGAAUGCAGUCCAAAAUGGGUGGUAAAUUUCAUCUAAAGCUAAAUAUUGGCGAGAGACCGAUAGCGAACAAGUACCGUGAGGGAAAGAUGAAAAGAACUUUGAAAAGAGAGUUAAACAGUACGUGAAAUUGUCAAAAGGGAAGCGUUUGACACCAGUGUUGUUUUCUCGAAAAUCAAUUAAAAAAGAUUGGAUUUUGUGUAGUAUUGACCUUUAUCAGCUUUCUGCACUUUUUUCUUGUCUUUUUUAAUGCACUUUUCGUUUAACAAGUCAACAUCAAUUUCUUUUGUUGUAAAAGGGUCAUUGGAAGGUGGCUUUCUUUUCGGAGAAAGUGUUUAUAGCCUUUGGCUUCUGCAAUCGGAGAGAUUGAGGUCUGCAGCGUAGAUCCUUCGGGGUUAGAUACAUUUGUGCUAAGUUAUAGCCUUUCAUAGACAACUUGUUGACUAUGAUCAGUCAUGUAGCUUACUCGCUUAUGCUAUUUUACCUACGCUUAGGAUGUUGAGUAGCGACAUACGCAC
rnacentral:rRNA from 1 species